UGUUAAAAAUUUAAUUCAUUUUUACUAUUAAAAACUAGUGUAGCUGAUGAAAUAAUUAAAUAGUUACACGUCACGUGUACCUUAUACUGGCAUAUAUGAACCGUUUUUUAACAGUAAAAAUAGAUAGAAUUUUUAACA
rfam:Gossypium hirsutum cultivar TM-1 chromosome 26, whole genome shotgun sequence